AGAACGGAAUGCAGCCAAGGAUGACUUGCCGGUACGUGUAUGCAUGUUUCAAGGUACUAUAUGUGCCCCCAACUGUUUUAGAUCCAUGCUGACAUUUUCCGGCAAGUUGUCCUUGGCUACGUCUUGUUCUUU
rnacentral:pre_miRNA from 17 species